GAUAAUGCAGCACUCAGCAAACUACAGGGCUUAGGAGCUGAUGGAUGGGAGGGGGAUUUUCUUCUGCUGUCCCUCUGGAGGGAUGAAAGGAAGAAUUCAGUGCUCCAGUAGUGUCUCUAGGAGUGCUGCAGGGAGGAUGUUUGGGGCUCCGGCAGCAUUUGGGGGAGCAGUGCAUGCAGGAAAAAGGUCGGAGCAGCUCCUGCCCAACUUCCCUGCACCUGCCUGCAGCAAACCUGUUGCUCUCAGUGGGAUUUUGCCAUGGUGUGAAGCUGGAAGUGUGGGAGAGCUGCCGCAGCAAAGCAGUGUGAAAUACUCCUCUCCCCGGUAGGGCUGCAGCCCCGGUGAAAUAUAGGAGCAAGAAAACAUAAAAGUCUCAUUUCCAACUCCAUAAUAUUUCCUGCCAAAACAAAGUAAAAUGUGCUGCUUUAAAUUUUCUGCAAAAUUCUUUUGAGGUUAUUUUUUCCCCUAAAUUAAGCCAUACUAAUUAUUUUCUGCCUCUUUAUCUCCACUCUGCAACACACCAGGAGGGUGCGGGCGGUGAGCAUUUUAAGCCUCCAUAAACAAAAGAGUAGUUUGGAAAAUAAUUCUAUCAAUUAAUCAAAUUAAUCCUGCAGUUUUAGUUACAAGCCCCAAGUGGCAAGGAUUCCAGCCCGCGGUUAUGAGCUAUCUCUCAUUGACAGCGUUUAAAUGUUAUGAUUGCAACAGUAAUUAAAGAACGUAAUACGCCCGGCUUUGUGUCAGCCUCCCACCUCCAGACCUCAGCGCUGCGCGGCAGAGGUCGUCUCGAGGACAAUUUGGGGAUGACCAAGUGGGGCAGCUUUCCCCACCUGGACCUGAUCCCUGCAAUACUGUGUCGCCGCCAGUGGGUGAGUGGAGUCCCUGUCCCUCAAGGUGUUCCAGAGCUGUGCCGAUGUGGCACAUGGGGACGUGGUGUGUGGGCAUGGUGGGAUGGAUUGGGGUUGGACUUGGUGAGCAUAGAGGUCUCCAACCUUAAUGACUCCAUGCUUGGACUUGGUGGUUGUAGAGGUCUUCUCCAACCUUAACGACUCAUUGGUUGGACUUGAUGAGCAUAGAGGUCUUCUCCAACGUUAAUGACUCACUGGUUGGACUUGGUGACUGUAGAGCACUUCUCCAUCCUUAACGACUCAAUGGUUGCACUUGGUGAUGGUAAAGGUCUUCUCCAACCUUAAUGACUCAGUGGUUGGAUUUGGUGAUCGUAGAGGU
ensembl:lncRNA